AACGAACGCUGGCGGCAGGCCUAACACAUGCAAGUCGAGCGAGGACUUCGGGCCUAGCGGCGGACGGGUGAGUAACGCGGGGGAACGUGCCCUUUGCUUCGGUAUAGCCCUGGGAAACUGGGCUUAAUACCGGAUGAGCUCUUUGCGGGUAAGAUUUAUCGGCGAAGGAUCGGCCCGUGUUGGAUUAGGUGGUUGGUGGGGUAAUGGCCUAUCAUGACGAGGAUCCUUAGCUGGUUGGGGAAGAUGAUACGCCGCACUGGGGAUGAGACACGGACCAGAAUCCUACGGGAGGCAGCAGUGGGGAAUAUAAGACAAUGGGGCAAGACCUGAUCAAGCCAUGCGGCGUGAGCGAUGAAGGCCUUAGGGUUGUAAAGCUCUUUCAGCUGGGAAGAUAAUGACGGUACCAGCAGAAGAAGCCCCGGCUAACUCCGUG
rnacentral:rRNA from 1 species